UGGCAAACAGUCUCAUUAUUCUGAUUUUGUGAUAAUCAGAGCAGGCUAAACAUUUGCUACAUUAAGACCAUGCAUGUGUCCCCAGGCCUAGUUCUUACUCUAGGUCUGGUUUUACAGAUGCUGGUAAUAAAC